AGCAGGACCAGCGUCUUGGCAGUCGUGGUGACAGUGAUGUUGAAGGUGGGAGCUCCGCCGGUGCUCUUGGUACGGAGAUCUAUGGUAAAUUCCCCGUCCUGCAGCAGCGAGUCCCGGAUAACAGAGACUGGCUCUAAUUCACAUCUCCGA